UAUCUAACUGUUGAAUAAGGUGUGCUUUGAUAUAGUUGCAGUGAAAACGUUGGACAGUUGAUGGCCAGGAGCAGGUUUCUGUUGAGUAGGCUAAGGUAAUCGCUAGAUUGAGAUAUGACGCGUCCGAAUCAGCACGAGAAAGAGGAAACGCACAGUGGAAACGGAUGACGGCGAAUAUGCAAUCAAUUAUUUCCAUGGAUAACAACACCCAUGCGAUUUUAACCUAUAAAAACAACGGAGAAAAGCGGAGGAGAAUUAACGGAGAUCGGCACGAUUUGUUUCUCAAGAUCAUUUUGGCCAGUUGGACAGAUGGGUUGUUAUUGGCACCUGUGAAUUGGCAGUCUUCUCCUCUAAGGAUCGUUGAGGGUAUCCACUAUUCCAGAGGGCACCUUGCAUUCAAGCUACAUUAAGCCCAGUACAUUGGGCUACACUUUGCAAUCAGAAAUGUCCAAAAACUGGGAGACCAUUCUGGGCCGAAACACUUCACAACAGAGAUGAAAAACAAAUCACUUCUAAUAGAGGCCUAAUCCAGAGAGGCAAACGGAGCCCUGACAAAAGAAAUAACGAGCGAAGAGGGGGAGGGAGGGAGAGAGAGAUGCAAAAGAUGUGCAGACAACAUGUGACCAGUUUUUUCAAGAGCAGUAAAAAGGCCUUUUAAAAUGUAUGUUCAAAAGGCGGACCUGUGUUUAUCUCAUGAAGGCGAGGGCGUCUGUGAGACUACAGAAUCACUAUGCGUGCGGUUUCAUAUCUUAAUUUG